rnacentral:tRNA from 1 species
ACUUAGGAUAAUUCUAAACCAAGAGCCUUCAAAGCCCAAAAUAGGGGACCACCCCUAGUUUCUGACCUAAGACUUG